GGGCGAUUGGCUCAGUGGUAGAGCAUCUCGUUUACACCGAGGGGGUCGGCGGUUCGAAUCCGUCAUCGCCCACCA
rnacentral:tRNA from 1 species